rnacentral:tRNA from 1 species
AGGAUUGUAGUUAAAUAUAACAUUUGAUUUGCAUUCAAAAAGUAUUAAUUUUAUUAAUCUAUCUUA